CCGACCGCGACCCCAGGUCA
rnacentral:rRNA from 1 species